AGCACAAAGGUUCUCAUAUUAAUAGUUCUUAAAAAUAAAGAACUAUCCAUUAGAUACUUCUGAAAAGGGAAAGUGGAAAUUCAUCAUUUUUAGUGUGUCAGCCUGGAAUCUCUUAUUCUGUACUUUCAUGAGCCACAUUCAUAUUGAAGACCACAUUGAUGAUCUUGAUGGAUGACAAGACCUUGAAGUGCCUUCUGAAACAUCAGGUUCUAGAGGAUGCCCACAUUCCCUGACUCAUGGUCCUUCCUUCAUCUUCAAAGCCAGCAACAGCAGGUCAAGUCCUUCUCGUAUUGCAUCGCCCUGAACUUCUCUUCUGCAUCCCUCUUCCACUUUUAAGGACCUUCGUGAUAAUCGCGUUCCAUGAAGUUCAAACAACGUGUAUGAAAUGGCAGAUGACAUUCUGGAAAAUGCUGUGUAUCUGAAAAAUGACUCUAGUGAUGACAAGGACACUGUGAUCAAAGAUUCAUGUGAAAAGUGUGAAUGACAAUUUUCAUAAAAUGUGAGUUCAA